rnacentral:rRNA from 1 species
GCGAACGCUGGCGGCAGGCUUAACACAUGCAAGUCGAGCGGGCAUCCUCGUGGUGUCAGCGGCAGACGGGUGAGUAACGCGUGGGAACGUGCCCUUCGGUUCGGAAUAACUCAGGGAAACUUGAGCUAAUACCGGAUACGCCCUUCUGGGGAAAGGCUUGCUGCCGAAGGAUCGGCCCGCGUCUGAUUAGCUAGUUGGUGAGGUUAUGGCUCACCAAGGCGACGAUCAGUAGCUGGUCUGAGAGGAUGAUCAGCCACACUGGGACUGAGACACGGCCCAGACUCCUACGGGAGGCAGCAGUGGGGAAUAUUGGACAAUGGGGGCAACCCUGAUCCAGCCAUGCCGCGUGAGUGAUGACGGCCUUAGGGUUGUAAAGCUCUUUUCUCCGGGACGAUAAUGACGGUACCGGAGGAAUAAGCCCCGGCUAACUUCGU